CUAAAAAUUAGUUAAUCUAAAUAACGUUAGUUUGUCAGACUAAAAUAAUCAAAUCCUGAUAUUUUUA
rnacentral:tRNA from 1 species